rnacentral:rRNA from 1 species
AAGUCGUGACAAGGUUUCCGUAGGUGAACCUGCGGAAGGAUCAUUCAUAAUCAAGUGUUUUUAUGGCACUUUAAAAAUCCAUAUCCACCUUGUGUGCAAUGUCAUCUCACUUGGGUCACGGCUGUAAAACGCCGGCGGCCCGUUUGGGAUUUAUAUCUACUCAGAAUUUUAAUCAUUUUGUCUGAAACAUAUUAUGAAUAACUUAAUUCAAAAUACAACUUUCAACAACGGAUCUCUUGGCUCUCGCAUCGAUGAAGAACGCAGCGAAAUGCGAUACGUAAUGUGAAUUGCAGAAUUCAGUGAAUCAUCGAAUCUUUGAACGCAUAUUGCGCUCUUUGGUAUUCCGAAGAGCAUGCUUGUUUGAGUAUCAGUAAACACCUCAAAGCUUUUGGACUUUUUUUUGAAAGUUUUGGACUUGAGCAAUCCCAACACCAAUCUUUUUCAGAUCGGUGGCGGGUUGCUUGAAAUGCAGGUGCAGCUGGACAUUCUCCUGAGCUAAAAGCAUAUUCAUUUAGUCCCGUCAAACGGAUUAUUACUUUUGCUGCAGCUAACAUAAAGGGAGUUUGACCGUAUUGGCUGACUGAUGCAGGAUUUCACAAGGGUCGGCAACGAUUCUUGUUAAACUCGAUCUCAAAUCAAGUAAGACUACCCGCUGAACUUAA